rnacentral:ncRNA from 1 species
UGGGAGGUAUCGGAAGAGUUUUCUUUUCUGUUUUACAAUCGUACGCACCAUGGAAGUCUUUCAUAGAGAGUUAUGGUAUAACAGAUUGGUAGAGCAUGGCAUUAAAUUGCUGUGUCGGUAC